CAUGCAAGUCGAACGAGGAUAUAUCCUUCGGGAUAUAAGCCGAGUGGCGCAAGGGUGAGUAAUGCAUAGAUUACCUGCCUCUAGGAUAAGGACAACUUUGUGAAAACGAAGCUAAUACUUAAUAAUACAAAAGAAAAUAAUUUUCUUUUGUCAAUGGGAGGGUAGCAAUACCUUUUGCCUAGAGAGGGGUUUAUGUCCUAUCAGCUUGUUGGUGGGGUAAUGGCCUACCAAGGCGAAGACGGGUAGCCGGUCUUAGAGGAUGGUCGGCCACACUGGGACUGAGACACUGCCCAGACUUCUACGGAAGGCUGCAGUCGAGAAUCUUUCGCAAUGCCCGAAAGGGUGACGAAGCGACGCCGCGUGAGUGAGGAAGGCCUUAGGGUUGUAAAGCUCUGUCAGGAGUUAAGAAAUAUAAGUGUGCUAAUACCGCAUUUAUUUGACGAAGGCUCCAAAGGAAGCCACGGCUAACUCUGUGCCAGCAGCCGCGGUAAUACAGAGGUGGCAAGCGUUGUUCGGAAUUAUUGGGCGUAAAGAGCACGUAGGUGGGUUUGUAAGUCAGAUGUGAAAGCCUUCUGUUCAACGGAAGAAUUGCAUCUGAAACCGCAAGUCUUGAGUGUAGGAGGGGAGAAUGGAACUUCUGGUGGAGCGGUGAAAUGCGUAGAUAUCAGAAGGAACGCCGGCGGCGAAAGCGAUUCUCUGGCCUAUUACUGACACUCAGUGUGCGAAAGCUAGGGGAGCAAACGGGAUUAGAUACCCCGGUAGUCCUAGCCGUAAACGAUGGGCACUAAGUAGAGGGGAUUACCGAUGUUCUCUCUGCCGUAGCUAACGCAUUAAGUGCCCCGCCUGGGGAGUACGGCCGCAAGGCUAAAACUCAAAAGAAUUGACGGGGGCUCGCACAAGCGGUGGAGCAUGUGGCUUAAUUCGAUGCAACGCGAAAAACCUUACCGGGGCUUGACAUGGUAGAAGUAGGAACCCGAAAGGGUAACGAACGGUAUCCAGUCCGUAGCUAUCACAGGUGUUGCAUGGCUGUCGUCAGCUCGUGUCGUGAGACGUUGGGUUAAGUCCCCUAACGAGCGAAACCCUUGUUUUUAGUUACCAGCGGGUUAUGCCGGGUACUCUAGAAAGACUGCCGUCGUCAAGACGGAGGAAGGUGGGGAUGACGUCAAGUCAUCAUGGCCCUUAUGCCCCGGGCUGCACACGUGCUACAAUGGUCGGUACAAACGGAAGCGAAGCCGAGAGGUGAAGCGAAUCCUAAAAAGCCGAUCUCAGUUCGGAUUGGAGGCUGAAAUUCGCCUCCAUGAAGUUGGAAUCGCUAGUAAUCGCGGAUCAGCAAUGCCGCGGUGAAUAUGUUCCCGAGCCUUGUACACACCGCCCGUCAAGCCACCCAAGCAGGAUGCACCCGAAAACAUUAUAUCUAACCAGGGCAACUUGGAGGAAAGUGUUGAAGGAGUGUUUUGUGAGGAGGACUAAGUCGUAACAAGGUAGUCGUAGGAGAACCUGCGGCUGGAUCACCUCCUUUCU
rnacentral:rRNA from 1 species